UACAGAGGUCCCAAGCGUUGUUCGGAUUCACUGGGCGUAAAGGGUGCGUAGGCGGUCGGGUAAGUCUGAUGUGAAAUCUCACAGCUUAACUGUGAAACUGCAUUGGAUACUAUUCGGCUUGAGAGUUGGAGGGGGGACUGGAAUUCUUGGUGUAGCAGUGAAAUGCGUAGAUAUCAAGAGGAACACCAGUGGCGAAGGCGAGUCCCUGGACAGCUUCUGACGCUGAGGCACGAAAGCUAGGGGAGCAAACAGG
rnacentral:rRNA from 1 species